AUUCCGUAUUAUAGUAUCAAAUUAUUCAAUUUGAGAGUUUUCAAUAUAGUUACCUUUCAUCAGGAUUGGUGCGAGUUACUAUUUUUAUGCUAAUCUAAACUUCUAAGUUUGCUACAAUAUAUUUGUCUAAAUCUGAUGCUUUAGGCUAUAAUCAGUUGAGGAAUCACAUAAUUAGAAUGUUUAUUAUGUGUUGUGUUUGUUAUUGCAGCUGGUCCCAACUCUUGCAAAAUUUGCUCUUCCAAAUAUCAAGUGGAUAUGCCCAACUGCUCCUACUUGCCCAGUGGCUAUACUUGGUGGAUUCCCUCGCACUGCAUGGUUUGACGUUAGAGAACUUUCAGAAGAUAGUCCUGAUGAUUUCGAAGGUUUAGAUGCUUCAGCAGCGCAUAUUGCAAACUUGUUGUCAACAGAGCCUGCUGAUAGUAAGUUUCUGCCUUGCUACUUCAUUGAUUAUAGGCCAUUAAAUUACUUAAUUUCCAUGUGUUUAGUAGCUCAU